rnacentral:rRNA from 1 species
GUCCACGCCGUAAACGAUGGGCACUAGGUGUAGGAGGUAUUGACCCCUUCUGUGCCGAAGCUAACGCAUUAAGUGCCCCGCCUGGGGAGUACGGCCGCAAGGCUAAAACUCAAAGGAAUUGACGGGGCCCGCACAAGCGGUGGAGCAUGUGGUUCAAUUCGACGCAACGCGAAGAACCUUACCUGGGUUUGACAUCCGCUGACCGCUACGGAAACGUAGUUUUCCCCGCAAGGGGACAGCGAGACAGGUGCUGCAUGGCUGUCGU